CACCAGAACCAAACUAUUAAGACUCUAUGUAUUUGAGUUAGAUUAUGACUCUCUAUCCUAGUGUCCAUGUGAUCUCUCAUUGUAUAUAUACCUGUAAUCUGUAUCUUUGUAAUUAUCUCAUCAAUACUAUUCAUACAGUUC